AUUGAACGCUGGCGGCAGGCUUAACACAUGCAAGUCGAGCGAGCGGCGGACGGGUGAGUAAUGUCUGGGACACUGCUUGAUGGAGGGGGAUACCUACUGGAAACGGUAGCUAAUACCGCAUACCAUCAGAUGUGCCCAGAUGGGAUUAGCUAGUAGGUUGGGUAAUGGCUAACCAAGGCGAAGGUCCCUAGCUGGUCUGAGAGGAUGACCAGCCACACGGGAACUGAGACACGGUCCAGAAUCCUACGGGAGGCAGCAGUGGGGAAUAUUGCACAAUGGGCGAAAGCCUGAUGCAGCCAUGCCGCGUGUGUGAAGAAGGCCUUCGGGUUGUAAAGCACUUUCAGCGAGGAGGCGUUACUCGCAGAAGAAGCACCGGCUAACUCCGUGCCAGCAGCCGCGGUAAUAC
rnacentral:rRNA from 1 species